rnacentral:rRNA from 1 species
GACAGAGGGGGCAAGCGUUGCUCGGAAUUACUGGGCGUAAAGGGCGCGUAGGCGGGAUGGCAAGUCGGUCGUGAAAUCCCUCGGCUCAACCGAGGAACGUCGAUCGAUACUGCUGUUCUUGAGGAUUGCAGAGGAGACUGGAAUUCCCGGUGUAGCGGUGAAAUGUGUAGAGAUCAGCAGGAACACCCGUGGCGAAGGCGGCCCCCUGGGCCGUACCUGACGCUGAGGCGCGAAGGCUAGGGGAGCGAACGGG